GACCUGGUGGUGUAGUGGUAACACACUUGCUCAACAUAUAUAGUUUGUGCUCUAGAAUCUUUGUGCAAGAGAUCCCUGUUUGACUCGGGGUUGGGUCA